GAUGAACGCUGGCGGCGUGCUUAACACAUGCAAGUCGAACGAUGAAGCCCAGCUUGCUGGGUGGAUUAGUGGCGAUCGGGUGAGUAACACGUGAGCAACCUGCCCCUGACUCUGGGAUAAGCGCUGGAAACGGCGUCUAAUACUGGAUAUGUCCCGUCACCGCAUGGUGUGCGGGUGGAAAGAUUUUUCGGUUGGGGAUGGGCUCGCGGCCUAUCAGCUUGUUGGUGAGGUAAUGGCUCACCAAGGCGUCGACGGGUAGCCGGCCUGAGAGGGUGACCGGCCACACUGGGACUGAGACAGGGCCCAGACUCCUACGGGAGGCAGCAGUGGGGAAUAUUGCACAAUGGGCGGAAGCCUGAUGCAGCAACGCCGCGUGAGGGAUGACGGCCUUCGGGUUGUAAACCUCUUUUAGCAGGGAAGAAGCGAAAGUGACGGUACCUGCAGAAAAAGCACCGGCUAACUACGUG
rnacentral:rRNA from 1 species